GCGGCGCGCAGGCUGCGCUCGCCGGAGCAGCGUGCUGGGACCCUAUAUAUCCCGCGCGCUCCUUCGUCGAGUGUGGCCACCGACGCCGC
rnacentral:pre_miRNA from 1 species